GCAAGUCGAGCGAACAGAUGAGAAGCUUGCUUCUCUGAUGUUAGCGGCGGACGGGUGAGUAACACGUGGGUAACCUACCUAUAAGACUGGGAUAACUCCGGGAAACCGGGGCUAAUACCGGAUAAUAUUUUGAACCGCAUGGUUCAAUAGUGAAAGACGGUUUCGGCUGUCACUUAUAGAUGGACCCGCGCCGUAUUAGCUAGUUGGUAAGGUAAUGGCUUACCAAGGCGACGAUACGUAGCCGACCUGAGAGGGUGAUCGGCCACACUGGAACUGAGACACGGUCCAGACUACUACGGGAGGCAGCAGUAGGGAAUCUUCCGCAAUGGGCGAAAGCCUGACGGAGCAACGCCGCGUGAGUGAUGAAGGUCUUCGGAUCGUAAAACUCUGUUGUUAGGGAAGAACAAAUUUGUUAGUAACUGAACAAGUCUUGACGGUACCUAACCAGAAAGCCACGGCUAACUACGUGCCAGCAGCCGCGGUAAUACGUAGGUGGCAAGCGUUAUCCGGAAUUAUUGGGCGUAAAGCGCGCGUAGGCGGUUUCUUAAGUCUGAUGUGAAAGCCCACGGCUCAACCGUGGAGGGUCAUUGGAAACUGGGAAACUUGAGUGCAGAAGAGGAGAGUGGAAUUCCAUGUGUAGCGGUGAAAUGCGCAGAGAUAUGGAGGAACACCAGUGGCGAAGGCGGCUCUCUGGUCUGUAACUGACGCUGAUGUGCGAAAGCGUGGGGAUCAAACAGGAUUAGAUACCCUGGU
rnacentral:rRNA from 1 species